rnacentral:misc_RNA from 1 species
AUGCGAUACGUAAUGUGAAUUGCAGAAUUCAGUGAAUCAUCGAAUCUUUGAACGCAUAUUGCGCUCUUUGGUAUUCCGAAGAGCAUGCUUGUUUGAGUAUCAGUAAACACCUCAAAUCUUUUUUUUUUUUUUAAAAAAAAGUUUUGGACUUGAGCAAUCCCAACACCAAUCUUUUUUAGAUCGGUGGCGGGUUGCUUGAAAUGCAGGUGCAGCUGGACAUUCUCCUGAGCUAAAAGCAUAUUUAUUUAGUCCCGUCAAACGGAUUAUUACUUUUGCUGCAGCUAAUAUAAAGGGAGUUUGACCGUAUUGGCUGACUGAUGCAGGAUUUCACAAGGGUCGGCAACGAUUCUUGUAAAACUCGAUCUCAAAUCAAGUAAGACUACCCGCUGAACUUAA